AAGUAAUAAUAUUACUGGUGCAUAAUAUUGCACCAAUUAUGCAAUAUCAUGUGCUAGGAACGUCUGUCUCCUUUUUCAUAUUUUCCAUAUAUUAACCUGUUUAAAUUUCCAAAACCUCCACAAGGAUGUAAUUGUCAUCCUUAUAGGAACCUGAGUCAUGGAGAAGUUAAAUAACAUGCCCUACGUCACUCGGCCUGGGAAACAGAGCUGAGGUUUGAAUCCAAUCACUAACCUCUGCACUCCAGGACUCUGACUUGCUGGGAUUGUGUAAGGACAGUGGGGGACAGAGGUUCAGAGGACAUUCCAGGCAGAGGGAACAGUGUAGGCAAAGGCCCAAAGAUGUGAGAAAACAUGACAUGUUUGUGUUUUCUUUGGAACUGCAGUGGGAAGGCGACAUUCAGGCAUUGAUCAGACAUGCAUCAUGUUUUUCUUUCAUUACAGUUUUCCUAGAGAACAUUUGGAAAGUGACUUAUCACCACCAUUUCUUAUAAUUAUAGUGUUUUCCGGUCAUCCUGCUGAGUUGUUGGCUGAGGGUGAUUUUAAAAACAUCCCCAGAAGAAAGACUACAAAUGUGUUGAUUUCCCUGGAUUCCUGAAAUUUGAAUGCUUGAGGGCAACAUUACAAGAUUGAUUUCCAGAGAAGACAACGUUUCCUGAAAACAAUUAUUUUGUAUAACUACAAAAUUCCUGAUCACGGCUGAGGUUUUUGCCAAUGUCAGUUAUUGGUCCCCAAGUGGGACAAUGUAUAAAUUGACUCAGUGUAUAUGAUGAGUACCCAAUAUAUGUGCAAAAAAUUUAUUAUGUAGUAGUAGCAAAAACAAAGCAAGGCAGAAUUCAGCUCAUUCUAAAUGAAGAAUAAUCUGGCCAAUUCUCUCUCUCUCUCUCUCUCUCUCUCUCUCUCUCUCUCUGACCACUGAGCCACAACCCCAGCUCUAUUUUGCAUUUUAUUUGGAGACAGGGUCUCACUGAGUUGCUUAGUGCCUUGCUGUUGCUGAGGCUGGCUUUGAACUUGUGAUCCCCCUGCCUCAGCCUCCCGAGCUCCUGGGAUUACAGGCAUGCGCUACCAUGCCCAGCCCCAAUUCCAUAUUUCUUGCAUAAUUUUCUGUUUCUAAUGCACCAG
rnacentral:lncRNA from 1 species